GCCAGCGUAGCUUAAAUUUAAAGCGCAACACUGAAGAUGUUAAGAUUGAACCCUAAAAAAUUCCGCAGGCA
rnacentral:tRNA from 3 species